AGCUUUGCGCAGUGGCAGUAUCGUAGCCAAUGAGGUUUAUCCGAGGCGCGAUUGUUGCUAAUUGAAAAAAAGAACAUGUACAAUUUGGGGAAAAAAAUAGGAGUAGUCAAUUUU
rnacentral:snRNA from 1 species